GCAGUCGACGCGUUGGCCAAUUGAUUGAUGGUGCUUGCACCUGAUUGAUUUUGGUUGCCAACGAGUGGCGGACGGGUGAGUAACACGUAGGUAACCUGCCCAGAAGCGGGGGACAACAUUUGGAAACAGAUGCUAAUACCGCAUAACAGCGUUGUUCGCAUGAACAACGCUUAAAAGAUGGCUUCUCGCUAUCACUUCUGGAUGGACCUGCGGUGCAUUAGCUUGUUGGUGGGGUAACGGCCUACCAAGGCGAUGAUGCAUAGCCGAGUUGAGAGACUGAUCGGCCACAAUGGGACUGAGACACGGCCCAUACUCCUACGGGAGGCAGCAGUAGGGAAUCUUCCACAAUGGGCGCAAGCCUGAUGGAGCAACACCGCGUGAGUGAAGAAGGGUUUCGGCUCGUAAAGCUCUGUUGUUAAAGAAGAACACGUAUGAGAGUAACUGUUCAUACGUUGACGGUAUUUAACCAGAAAGUCACGGCUAACUACGUGCCAGCAGCCGCGGUAAUACGUAGGUGGCAAGCGUUAUCCGGAUUUAUUGGGCGUAAAGAGAGUGCAGGCGGUUUUCUAAGUCUGAUGUGAAAGCCUUCGGCUUAACCGGAGAAGUGCAUCGGAAACUGGAUAACUUGAGUGCAGAAGAGGGUAGUGGAACUCCAUGUGUAGCGGUGGAAUGCGUAGAUAUAUGGAAGAACACCAGUGGCGAAGGCGGCUACCUGGUCUGCAACUGACGCUGAGACUCGAAAGCAUGGGUAGCGAACAGGAUUAGAUACCCUGGUAGUCCAUGCCGUAAACGAUGAGUGCUAGGUGUUGGAGGGU
rnacentral:rRNA from 1 species